AGAAAUGGCAAAAAGAAAAAAUAAAUAAAUAAAGUUACUAUGUACUUUUUUUACCUUAAAGAUUCUUCUGGAUGUUAUUGGUUUAUAAAAACUCUGCAUCUCUAAGUUAAAAGCUUAACUGAGGUAUCAGGUACCAGGAACUUUGUUAGCCCUUAGGUCCAUCAGUAGGGUUAUGUAGUGUUUAUGGGAAUCAUGGGUAAACAUAAAGCAUCAUUAGCAAACUAGAGGAAUUAUAGGUUAAUGGUAAAAAUUAAAAAGGAGAAAAUAAGAAGUAAUGGAACUCAAGGAAGUAUACAUAAGAGUGGUUGAAUCAUCACCAAGUGCCUCACAGAUCCCUUCCUGCUUGUUGAAUAGGAACCUCUUUCCAGUCUGUCUUCUCAAUAGUUUCACAACAAACCAUAAAAGUAUUUUUAAAGUUUUUUUUAAGAAAUGUAACUCAUGAUGAAUGCAAAUUGUGAAAAGUUCAGAUCUUUCUAAAUUGUAAAUUUAAAUGUCUACCAGACCAGGUAGUAAUGAUGGUAAAAUGUAUGUUACUAUUCAAUAUAAAUUUUUUUCUAUGUAUCAUCUCCCUUUGCAUUCAAAGAUGACACAUCUGACUAAGAAAAGGCAUUCUCUGACUUCCUUUACCUUUUGCGGUUCAGCCGUUUUUAACAGACCUCAUAACCUUUAAAUGUUCUGCUUGUUAAAUUUGUUGAUUAAAUUGAAUUGCCCCUAUUUUAUUCAGGACUUUUGCAUAUUAUGACUGAUUUUCCCUUGUCCACAGCUGAUCUACGUAAUGUUAUGUGAUGUUUUGUUGCAUACUUAACACUUUUCUUCCACCUUCCCUGCCUAUAGUUUAUGCUUUCUACAGUUUGAGAUUCCUUUGGAGUCCAUUCUCUGCAUCUUUUCAUAUAUAGAUUUACUUGUCACAGUCCAGGACCUCACUGCAAGUGGUUUUCUUCCCCAGUUUGAUGAUGUUCACAGAGGCAGGUAAGUGACAUAGCUGGGGCUGGAUGUAAACAGAAUAAGAUCUUACAUUUAUAUAGGACCACUUCACUAACUUCUGCUAAGUUCUGGAGUUUGAUAGCUCCAAGGGAAAAGGAGCUAGGAAUGUGGAAUUAAAUUCCCUGGAUUAGCAUCCAUGACAGGAAGGAAUGAGAUGUUUGAGUUGAUUCUUUUUUUGUUUUCUGUUCGUAGAAAUAAUGUGCAUUUUUAGUCAUUAACAUUUUGGUCUUGCUUACUUUCAUAUUCCAGAAAAUUUUAUACCUCUUUUAAAAUAAAUUGGUGGAAUGCCCUUGAUGAUAUUUACCCAGAAAGUACCUUGUUCUCCUUUCAGGGAAAUUGAAUUUUACAAAUUACUUCUGGAUGUUUCGUCUAUUAAUUGAUUUCCUUCUGCACCAUGAAAUGACUGUUUCUUCUCCUUUUUUUUUUUUUUUUUCUUUUUAGGGCCAACCUAUGGCAUAUGAAAGUUCCCAGGUUAGGGGUUGAAUCACAGCCACACCUACUGGCCCACACCUUCUGGUCACAGCAGUGCUGGAUCCGAGCUGUAUCUGUGACCUAUGCAGCAGCUUGCAGCAAUGCCAGAUCCUUUACCCACUGGGUGAGGCUAGGGAUUGAACCCGCAUCCUCGUGGACACUACGUCGGGUUCUUAACUUGCUGAGCCACAGUGGGAACUCUGAAAUGACCGUUUCUAUUCUCCUUUUCUGAGUAUUACAUUUGUACUUAAGCCUGCACUGGUCAUUGUGAGUUGUUGAAUUAGUUUGUUUCGCUAAAAAGGACUUUUGGCAUGGGAGAACUAAUCCUGAGUUGAGAAUGACAUCUAGACCUCCAAGCGUUCCUGUUUCUCUGGGCUAGUGCUUAACCCUUUCUAAUCAAAUAUUGACUUCUGAACUAAUCCCAAGGGUUUUUUCCUGACGUUAAUGGACUGAGAGCAGAAAUGCUGCCUUAGUGAGAGAAAUCCAAGAAGCAGUCGGUUUCGUCUUUCCUCAGUCUGCCUGGCCUCUGGUGAGUUUGGGAGUGUUGACAAGUUCUGAGCCUUAUUGGCAAAGAAGGAAGGUCAGAAAGAGAGAAGUCCUUGGGCAGGGGGCCAGGUUCUUACUUUCCUCAUUAGGGUGAAUUCAGUCUUGUCUGUCUGCUUGGCAGGGCACACCUUAUCACGGAGACCCAGCAUUUCAGCAGUUUGCGAAGGAAAGUGAUAUGAAGGGACAGCUGCAGGUUAGCCACAAGCUAGAUCUGAAGAGAUCAAGCAUUUAUUUCACUUGGAAGAAAGAGAGAAGGAAGGAAGCUGAGGGCUUAGCAGGUCUCCAGGUAUUGUUGGACAGGCCAUGGCUCCACGGUCCCGGCGACGAAGGCACAAGAAACCCCCUUCAUCAGUGGCUCCCGUGGUUGUGACCCCACCUGCCAUUGUGACCCCUAUGCCUCUGGCCCGCUCAAAACCUGGCCCUAGCAUUGAUACGCUUGGCUUCUUCUCCUUGGAGAAUAAUGUUCCUGGCCUAUCCCAUCUGAUCCUUCAAAAGCUGAACAUGAAAAGCUAUGAAGAAUACAAGUUGGUGCUAGAUGGGGGUACUCCUGUAUCAGGCUUCGGAUAUCGCUGCCUUCAAGAAAUGUUCCAGAAGAUGGAGGACACAUUCCGAUUCUGUGCCCACUGUAGAGCACUCCCUAGUGGCCUCUCAGACUCCAGGGUCCUCCGGCACUGCAAGAGUUGCAGAAAUGUCUAUUACUGUGGUCCAGAAUGCCAGAGGUCAGACUGGCCAGCGCACAGGAAGGUUUGUCAAGAGCUGCGUCUUGUCGCUGUGGACCGUUUCAUGGAAUGGCUUCUGGUCACAGGUGAUUUUGUCCCACCCUCAGGACCUUGGUCACAGCCGACUGAAGUUGUCCAGGGCUGGGACACCUGGUUUUCUAUGCGAUGUUUGCAGCUAGAUGCCACACUGGAUGCUGUGCUUAGUAGUCAGGCCAUGACCACCUUGUGGGCCAAUGUCGGACGGCCAAGGCCAGACCCAGAUGUCCUGCAGGGCUCUUUGAAGCGGUUGCUGACAGAUGCCUUGUCCCGGCCCUUGACACUGGGCUUUGGGCUUCAGGCCUUGGGGAUAAACGUUGGGAAGGUCGGGGGAAGCACAGUGCAUGUGAUUGGCGCUUCCCAUGCAGAGACAUUCCUCACUCGCCCCGGGGACUAUGAUGAGCUUGGCUACAUGUUUCCUGGGCACCUUGGCUUCCACAUAAUCAUGGUGGGUGUGGAUGUAGCUGCUGACUUUUCACAGAGCCCCUCCGCUUCACUCCCAGAACCUGGCACAAUUCAGCUUAGUAGCCACAGGGGCCUCUAUCAUGACUUCUGGGAGGAGCAGGUAGAGACUGGAAAGAUACCUCAUCCAGAUUUGGUGGUGGCAUUCCAUCCAGGUAAGAGUCAUUGGGUCAGGGGAAUCCAGGGCAAUUUUUGGGAAUUUUCCACCCUGACUCUUGUACCUUCGAAACCCCAUUCAUUUGUUCAGGUUAAACAUAAUGUAAUGAAGACCUUGGUUGAUCAUUAGCUGUAUGUGCUACAUCUGAUUUCGUAAUUUUCCAUUGAAGAACCUGGGGUGGGUAAUGGUGGUUUCCAUGCUUCUGCGGACUUGAUGGAGGCUUGGCUGCCCACUCUCCUGCUACUUCGUGAUUAUGA